rnacentral:misc_RNA from 1 species
UGAUUUCUGUGAACAAAUAGGAUUUCCGCCUAUAACUUUCCCUCAUAAAAAGAAAGUUAAAGGGGGCAGAGCGAGGAAGAAAAAGAAAAAUUAUAAUACUAAAAGUAUUAUAAGCAAGAUAAAAGAGAUAAAGGAGAAUCUUCUACAAAGAAAACUCAAAGAAAGAAAACAAAAUCUUCUAAAAAGAAGAAAAAAGAUACAAAAGUAGUCUGUUAUAAGUGUGGAAAGGUAGGACAUUACGCUAAUAGGUGUAAAGUAAAACAGCAAAUACAGGCACUAUCAAUUGAUGAAAAUCGUAAAGAAUCAUUAAUAAAAAUAUUGCUAAAUGAUAGUGAGCCAGAAGACUUAGAAGUCAAUGCAGUAGAUUAUACUUCGGAAAU